AUGACAAGUAUUCUUUCCAUGGCUAAUCAUCAUCGUUCUCCAAGUUCUUCCAUCUCAAAAAUUCCUCGACGAUCUUCUUCAUCUCUUCACUCUCCAUUUUGCCAACUCUGUAGCAUAAAAACAUUUCUCACAAAAAACCUCUCUUCCUCAUCCAUCAACCUUCAUCAAUCCAGCCCUAAUGCUAACCAACGACAACUAAACCAUAUUCCGGCCAUCCCUCCUCACGAACGCACCAUAUCAAAUUCCUUUUUUCGGUGA